GGGGAAGUAGCUCAGCUGGGAGAGCGCAGCGUUCGCAUCGCUGAGGUCGGGAGUUCGAUCCUCCUCUUCUCCA
rnacentral:tRNA from 1 species